rnacentral:rRNA from 1 species
UCUUUAGUUGCCAGCAUUUAGUUGGGCACUCUAAAGAGACCGCCGGUGAUAAACCGGAGGAAGGUGUGGAUGACGUCAAGUCAUCAUGCCCCUUACAUCCUGGGCUACACACGUACUACAAUGCUACGGACAAAGAGCAGCAAGUUCGCGAGGACAAGCAAAUCUCAUAAACCGUGGCUCAGUUCAGAUCGUAGGCUGCAACUCGCCUACGUGAAGGAGGAAUCGCUAGUAAUCGCAGGUCA